rnacentral:rRNA from 1 species
CACAUGCAAGUCGAGCGGGGAACGGAUGGUAGCUUGCUACCGUUUGUUUCUAGCGGCGGACGGGUGAGUAACGCGUGAGCAACCUGCCUUUAUCAGGGGGAUAACGCAUCGAAAGAUGUGCUAAUACCGCGUAAGACCACAGCUUCACAUGGAGUGGGGGUCAAAGGAGCAAUCCGGAUAAAGAUGGGCUCGCGUCCGAUUAGCUAGUUGGUGAGAUAACAGCCCACCAAGGCGACGAUCGGUAGCCGACCUGAGAGGGUGAUCGGCCACAUUGGAACUGAGAGACGGUCCAGACUCCUACGGGAGGCAGCAGUGGGGAAUAUUGGGCAAUGGGCAAAAGCCUGACCCAGCAACGCCGCGUGAGGGAAGAAGGGUUUCGGCUCGUAAACCUCUGUCCUAUGGGACGAAGGAAGUGACGGUACCAUAGGAGGAAGCCCCGGCUAACUACGUGCCAGCAGCCGCGGUAAUACGUAGGGGGCGAGCGUUGUCCGGAAUGAUUGGGCGUAAAGGGCGCGUAGGCGGCCUGCUAAGUCUGGAGUGAAAGUCCUGCUUUCAAGGUGGGAAUUGCUUUGGAUACUGGUGGGCUGGAGUGCAGGAGAGGAAAGCGGAAUUACCGGUGUAGCGGUGAAAUGCGUAGAGAUCGGUAGGAACACCAGUGGCGAAGGCGGCUU